UUUUGACGUUUUAGGCACUUCCA
rnacentral:siRNA from 1 species